CAACAUUCUCUAGAACUCAUGCCAAGAACAAAAGAACCCUGCAUGCUCCAACUUCAGAACCUGAACUGGGCUUCCAAGUGCAGGCGGCCCGCCUCUGAACAGUGUUUACUUCACUAUUUAAACUGCAUCUCUGUUCCCAGCAGUGUUUCCAAGGCCUCUAGAGUGCUGAGGACAGUGCACAUCAAGCUCCAUGUAUGAGGAUGGCUCCAGUCCCUCCAGCAAGCCUCCGAGACCAUCCUUGGCUGACGAGGACAUCUCUGCUGUGCUGCCACAAAGCAAUCAAGAAACCAGAGAAAGACAGAGGAAAGUUAAAGACCAAGACUCUUGAAACCCUCUUUAGAGGAGUUUGAAGAAAUUAUGGAACAUUAAUCUUGUUGUUGUUUUACCGCUAAAAAAUGUGUUGUAAGAGGGUUUUUCCUAACUGCCAUUUUAAUUUUGAUGAAACUGUGAUCUGGAGAAAUCAAUGAGAUAUCUUUGGCAAAAAGUGAAAUAAAUUUCACUCUCCAUUG